rnacentral:lncRNA from 1 species
CCUCCUGAGACACGCACCACAGGAAGUUUCCUGGGAGAAGGGCCAUUUCCUGUCCUGGGCGUGGAAGAAGACCUGCCACCCCACGAAUCUGAGAGGAUGUGGCUGUCAUUAAAUAUGACUUAAUUCUGUUCCUCAUCUACCCAGAGCCCUCCCUGGGGGCCUCCCGUUGUAUUUUGGAAACAGCCCAAAUUUGGAAUGAGGAAUUUUGAAGACUACUUCUGCUACUUGCUGGCUGUGUGGCCUUGGGAUACAUGCUGUAUGUAUGAACCAGCCACCACAUUGUGAGAAAGUCCAGGCCAGAUGUGUGUUCCCAGCCAACAGCCAGAGGAGUGAACAAGGAAGAGCUGAGGGUCGUGAUCUGAAAAGAAGACCUCAGAGAAUGUCGCGUUUGGAGCUUCACCGCGAGAUUCCUCAGACCUGGCCUCCCCUCUUCUGUCUUCGGAAGCUCUUGCUGGGAAGUCUGGGUAUCACGAUGUCUUUUGAUCCCCUUUAAUCUUCACAAUAAUAAUGUCCAAGGUAGUUAGUGAGUCUCCAUGUUCCAAGUGAGGAAAAUAGGCCUAGAGAAGUUAAGAAUGGUCUCACCAGGGAGACCCCUAUUGUUUUAUUUGCCCCACACUUCCCUUCUUCUGGAAAUUGCCAACCCCCCACACACCAUCCAUCUGCUUCCAGGAGUGGAAGCCUGUUAGCUGAGGCCCAAGCAAGCUGACUGCUCCAGGGCCUGUUCCACACAAGCUUUGCCAUCGGUCUUUCUUUGUAAAUUUGAAAUGGAAACCGAGAGGAGCUGGUGUCUGGAAAUCAUAAAGGUGGGAAUCUGUCAGGAGCACAUUUCUUGCCCCGGGGACCAGAGAAGCAGAGGAACCUAACCUGCAGAGGGAGAUGGUGGAGCCUGAAUCCGGCACUGGAGAAGGUUGGGGGGCAAGAAAAGGCGAGUCCCCAAGCCUUCACGUCCACGGUUCUCUGUGUGCUGGGACUUCAGCUGUGUUCCUGAUUCCGUGUGUCUCGAGAACAUCCUAUGUCCUUAGAAUAAAUUCUCCUUAAGCUGUCUUGACUUGGGCUUCUGUCCCCUGCAGUCCAAGGGGUCCUAGAAUGCCUGAAAUGGGCCUGAUCCUGGAACGGUUUGUUUCCAAAGCCUUCUCUUGGUUUAUCACAAAAAGGGCCAGAACGUUGUUUCGGCUCAGCAUUGUGUCUCAAAGGGCAAAUGGAGUGUGCGAGUAUGGCCAGCGUAGGGUCACUGGAGGCCAACGUCCUCAGCCAUCCAACGCGUGGCCAUCUGUAACCAAGUUGAAGGACCGUGCCAGUACAAACUCAAAGCUUCCUUCUCUUUCAAUCUGAUAACAAUGAGUAAAGUUGUGACUUAGAAAAAUGAGAUCAUCUUAGCCUUUUCAUUGGGCCACUGUGUGACGGUGGAGAACAGAAUCUUGUGCCAAAAUUUAGCCAGUACUUUACCCUCCCACCUGCUCGCCGCUCCCCAGAGUACUGUCGGUUCUUUCAGGAAUUACAGCUGCC